UGGCACUGGCACUGCUGCCUCUUUAGAGGAGGUCCAACCCACUCUACAGACGCCUAAGCUGUCAUAAGGACAGUGCUGGGACCAGUUGGCAUGGUGACCAGCUGUGCUGAAAGUGGUGAUCUCUAGCGGCUUCUGAACACCAGGAGUGGUUCUAGGCUCUCUCAAUCGAGUGAAAAAUGGUCUCUGUCCCAGAGUUGAGAAGAAAUCGAAGAAGGCAGGGAGAAGAAAAGACCCUGGGAGGUGAACCACUGCUCCAGCUCAACAGCUAAGGAGCUCCGAGCUUUUGUGUUCCGUACAGCCCUUUCCUGACUCCAGCGUGGAACCUGAGAAGUGGGAUUCUUCUGUUAGGUAAUGAAGCCUGUCACUCAAGAAACAGAGCGACAGGAAAAUCAAAGUACACAUGUAACAUAUACACACAGACCACACACACACACAUAUACACACA